rnacentral:rRNA from 1 species
CUACGGGGUGCUGCAGUGAGGAAUAUUGCACAAUGGGGGAAACCCUGAUGCAGCAACGCCGCGUGGAGGAUGACGCAUUUCGGUGUGUAAACUCCUUUUAUCAGAGAAGAAAAUGACGGUAUCUGAUGAAUAAGCUCCGGCUAACUCCGUGCCAGCAGCCGCGGUAAUACGGAGGGAGCAAGCGUUAUUCGGAAUCACUGGGCGUAAAGGACGUGUAGGCGGGUUUUUAAGUCAGGUGUGAAAUCCUAUGGCUCAACCAUAGAACUGCACUUGAAACUGGGGACCUAGAGUAUGGAAGGGGCAGGUGGAAUUAGUGGUGUAGGGGUAAGAUCCGUAGAUAUCACUAGGAAUACCGAAAGCGAAGGCGACCUGCUGGGACAUUACUGACGCUGAGGCGUGAAAGCGUGGGGAGCAAACAGGAUUAGAUACCCUUGUAGUC